GCCUACGGGGGGCAGCAGUGGGGAAUAUUGCGCAAUGGGCGAAAGCCUGACGCAGCGACGCCGCGUGAGGGAUGAAGGUCUUCGGAUCGUAAACCUCUGUCAGCAGGGAAGAACGGUCACUGUGCUAAUCAGCAGUGAAUCGACGGUACCUGCAAAGGAAGCACCGGCUAACUCCGUGCCAGCAGCCGCGGUAAUACGGAGGGUGCGAGCGUUAAUCGGAAUUACUGGGCGUAAAGCGCUCGUAGGCGGUAUGUCAAGUCAAGGGUGAAAUCCCCGCGCUCAACGUGGGUACUGCCUUUGAAACU
rnacentral:rRNA from 1 species